CAAUAGCGUAUAUUAAAGUUGUUGCGGUUAAAAAGCUCGUAGUUGGAGUUCUGCCAGGUGCCGCCUGUCCGCCCCAGUGGUGAGUACGUGGCGCGCAUUUGGCCCUUUCAAGGGGAGCGUAUCUGCACUUUAUUGUGUGGUGCGGGAUCCUUGACUUUUACUUUGAGGAAAUAGGAGUGUUCCAAGCAGGCUCUCGUCGUGCACAGCUCAGCAUGGAAUAAUAGCAUUGGACCUCGAUUCUAAGCUGUUGGUUGCCAGAAGCGAGGUAAUGAUGAAGAGGGAUAGUUGGGGGCAUUCGUACUAACCGGUCAGAGGUGGAAUUCUUGGAUUCGGUUAUGACGAACGACUGCGAAAGCAUUUGUCAAGAAUGUUUUCAUUGAUCAAGAACGAAAGUGUGGGAUCGAAGAUGAUCAGAUACCAU
rnacentral:rRNA from 1 species